rnacentral:rRNA from 1 species
UACGUAGGGCGCAAGCGUUGUCCGGAAUUAUUGGGCGUAAAGAGCUCGUAGGCGGUUUGUCGCGUCUGCCGUGAAAGCCCGGGGCUUAACUCCGGGUCUGCGGUGGAUACGGGCAGACUAGAGGCAGGUAGGGGAGAACGGAAUUCCCGGUGUAGCGGUGAAAUGCGCAGAUAUCGGGAGGAACACCGGUGGCGAAGGCGGUUCUCUGGGCCUGUACUGACGCUGAGACACGAAAGCCAGGGGAGCGAACGGG